ensembl:lncRNA
AUGGCAUCUUACACAGUGGUCAUUGUCCCUCUCAGGAACAGUCCUAACAGUCUGGAUGCAUUGCAGUUCUUCCUCUGGGUGAAGAAGAUGAAGGACUUGGAGAGGGAAAAGGACUUUUUGUGGAUUGGAUUGCAGGCUUUAGAGCAGGUGCGAGAGAAGUUAUGCUACAACCUAGAAGACAACAUGGAAGUGCAAGACCAAUUCAAGAAAGGAGAGAUGAGAAAAGUGUUUCUAGACACCCCCACCCUACUGUUGGCUCAGAUCCACAGAGUGAACAGGACCUUAAGGAAUCUACUUUGUGACUCCAGGAAUCCAAUAGAAGGUACUGAAGGACACCAGCCCUCUCCUACCUGUUCAGAAGAAAGUGCUAGUUUUUAAACAGCUAUUUGUUUUGAAAUUCUGUAUUGCAUUUUCCUGUAUUUUGUGCUUGUAGAAUGUAUUCUGAGUGGAUUGAAAUAAUAAGUUUCUGUGCAAUAAAUGAAAAAUUGCCUAAUUGAUAAGAUUUCCA